rnacentral:misc_RNA from 1 species
CAACCCUCAGGGCCCGCCUGCUUGCAGGCGCGGCGCUGGUGUUGGGGAUCGGCUUCCCGCCGUCCCCCAAAUACAGUGGCGGUCUCGCUGCAGCCUCCCAUGCGUAGUAGCAACACUCGCACGCGGAGCGCGGCGCGGCCACGCCGUAAAACCCCCGACUUUCUGAA